GCCGGGUACGGUGGCAUGUUGCCUGUAAUCCAAGUCACUGGGAGGGCUGAGGUUGGUGGUCAAGUGAGCUGAGGAGCUCUGGGCUGCAGCACACUAUUUUGAACGGGUGUCCACGCUAAGUCUGUAUCGAUAUGGUGUUCCAGGGGGAGCCGGGACCACCAGGUUGUCUAAGGAGGGGUGAACCGGCCCAGGUCGGAAACAAAGCAGGUCAAAUCCCCCGUGCUGUCCAGUAGUUGGAUAAUACCUGUGAGUAGAUGCUGCAGUGCAGCCUUGGCAAAACAUCGAGACUAUCUUAAUU
rnacentral:SRP_RNA from 1 species